UGAUCCUGCCAGUAGUCAUAUGCUUGUCUCAAAGAUUAAGCCAUGCAUGUGCAAGUAUGAACCAAUUUGAACUGUGAAACUGCGAAUGGCUCAUUAAAUCAGUUAUAGUUUGUUUGAUGGUACGUGCUACUCGGAUAACCGUAGUAAUUCUAGAGCUAAUAGCUGCAACAAACCCCGACUUUUGGGAGGGGCGCAUUUAUUAGAUAAAAGGCUGACGUGGGCUCUGCUCGCUGAUCCGAUGAUUCAUGAUAACUCGACGGAUCGCAUGGCCUUUGUGCCGGCGACGC
rnacentral:ncRNA from 1 species